AGUGAACGCUGGCGGUAGGCCUAACACAUGCAAGUCGAACGGCAGCACAGUAAGAGCUUGCUCUUACGGGUGGCGAGUGGCGGACGGGGGAGGAAUACAUCGGAAUCUACGUGUUCGUGGGGGCUAACGCAGGGAAACUUACGCUAAUACCGCAUACGACCUACGGGUGAAAGCAGGGGAUCUUCUGACCUUGCGCGAGUGAAUGAGCCGAUGUCGGAUUAGCUAGUUGGCGGGGUAAAGGCCCACCAAGGCGACGAUCCGUAGCUGGUCUGAGAGGAUGAUCAGCCACACUGGAACUGAGACACGGUCCAGACUCCUACGGGAGGCAGCAGUGGGGAAUAUUGGACAAUGGGCGCAAGCCUGAUCCAGCCAUACCGCGUGGGUGAAGAAGGCCUUCGGAUUGUAAAGCACUUUAGUUGGGAAAGAAGAGCAGCAGGUUAAUACCCCGCUGUUCUGACGGUACCCAAAGAAUAAGCACCGGCUAACUUCGUG
rnacentral:rRNA from 1 species